rfam:Canis lupus familiaris chromosome 3, whole genome shotgun sequence.
GGCUGGUCCAAGUGCAGUGGUGUUUACAAUUAAUUGAUCACAGCCAGUUACGGAUUUUGUUCCUUCUCCACUCCCACUGCUUUACUUGAAUAGAGGAA